GUGUGAAUCCCAGGGCGCUUCUCCUUUGGCACGGCGGCCGGCAUGUGUUGGUGAUAGGAGGCAGGAGCUAUAGCGAGUUGAGUCGAAGAAGGUCCAUGCACGGAAGCUACCUAGCUAGCCUUGUGGUGCGUGCCAAAGGAGAAUUGCCCUGCGAUUCACCU
rnacentral:pre_miRNA from 1 species